rnacentral:rRNA from 1 species
CUGGCGGCGUGCCUAAUACAUGCAAGUCGAACGGUCUUUCUAUGGAAGCUUGCUCCACUGGGAAGAUAGUGGCGGACGGGUGAGUAACACGUGGGUAACCUGCCCAUAAGAGGGGGAUAACAUCCGGAAACGGGUGCUAAUACCGCAUAGUUUUCUUGAUCGCAUGGUCGAGAAAGGAAAGACGGCCUUUGUGCUGUCGCUUAUGGAUGGACCCGCGGCGUAUUAGUUAGUUGGUGAGGUAACGGCUCACCAAGACGAUGAUACGUAGCCGACCUGAGAGGGUGAUCGGCCACAUUGGGACUGAGACACGGCCCAAACUCCUACGGGAGGCAGCAGUAGGGAAUCUUCCGCAAUGGACGAAAGUCUGACGGAGCAACGCCGCGUGAGUGAAGAAAGGUUUUCGGAUCGUAAAACUCUGUUGUCAGAGAAGAACAAGUCGGAGAGUAACUGCUCCGGCCUUGACGGUAUCUGACCAGAAAGCCACGGCUAACUACGUGCCAGCAGCGGC